UGUCUUUUUGAAAAUAAUAUAAAGUCUAAUCUGCCCACUGAUUUAAUAAUUGAAGGGCUGCAGUAUAUUGACUGUACAAAGGUAGCAUAAUCAUUAGUCAUUUAAUUGAUGACUUGAAUGAAGGAUUGGAUGAAAUAUAAACUGUCUCUUGAUUAAAUAUAUAUAAUUUAAUUUUUUAAUUAAAAAGUUAAAAUAAUUUAAAAAGACGAGAAGACCCUAUAGAGUUUUAUAAAUAAAUUAAUUAAGAUUAUUUAUUAGAUAAAAAUUAAAAUUAAAUUGUUUAUUGUAUUGGGGUGAUAGAAAAAUAUAAUUAACUUUUUUUAUAUGUAUUAACAUUUAUAAGUGAUUAAAUGAUCCAAUAUUAUUGAUUAUAAGAAAAAAUUACCUUAGGGAUAACAGCGUAAUUUUUUUUUUUAGUUCAUAUAAUAAAAAAAGUUUGCGACCUCGAUGUUGGAUUAAGAUAAAAUUUAAAUGCAGAAG
rnacentral:rRNA from 1 species